CUGUUAGUAUUAUUUCCUAAGACAGUGUGUUUAUCUUGUGAGGAUGUGAAAGGGGAAAAGAUGGGAAACAGUUUUUCUGUGCACUUUAUUGUCAUCCACUGAAGAGCGUUCCCUGAAAUGAAAGUGAACCCUCCGCCAGACUGCCACCUCCUGGUGAGCACUGAGCGCGUUUCUCACGUUACUGUGCCUGCCGCUGCCCUCACGGCUAUCAUCGUUACCUCAGCACGCCCAGCUGCAGAUCCCAGCACGCAGCGCCGGACCGCACUGCAAGCAGCGAACCCUUCCUGGCCCAGCGAUCCUUCCCAACAACUCUGACUGCAGCCGAACCCCGCCGAGGAGCCGCGCUUCCAUACGGGGCUGUUCUCUAUUCAUUUCUAGUUCGUUUUUACAGAUUUUGACUGUGUGAGCUGAGUGCAUGAAGCACUCGUGCAAAAGUAGUUAAGCUUCUGUCCUCUGGCCGUCAUACACAAAUAUGUGGAAAAAGAUAAAUACUCAGUGCAAAUGCAACCCACUGUACUGAGAAGUUACAAUCUGCACUACGUUCAGGAGUUGGUAUAGGACUCUCUUAAGCAGAGGCCCAGUUUGAAGCGCAGCCAUCAGUCUUUCACGGCUCUGCUUUUCUCCCUGCAUACAGAGCACACCUCAAGUUGGAGCUACCUGAGAUUACAGAGCUCACCUCCAUCCUCACUGGCUCUGAAGCACUGAUCAAUCACAUUAUUCAGUCUGCAGUAAUACCCCUUGGUUCCUCCAGCUGUUCAUGCUGCUGUUUGCAUUCCUGCAUGCAGUGGUGGCACAAAGCAAGGCUUCAGAAAACACCCUCUGAACUUUGGGCAGCCCAUUCCUUCAU
rnacentral:lncRNA from 1 species